GCUGUCAUGUUUCCCACUCAGAUCUGAUGUGUCUAUGCCUGUUCCAGCGUGGGAGAGGUGUGUUUGUCUCUCCGAGUCUGAUAAGAGAUCUUCUCUCUGUAGUACCCCCUCUGCAUCAUCUACCUAGAAAAUAUGAGAAUCGGGGAGAAGGAAGUGAAUUCAAGAUCUGCGUGCCCUCAUGGGGUAUGACAGGUGGGAGUUCAUUGGGAAGCUGAGCUCUGGAUGUCUACUGUGGACCAGGCCUUUCCCAGCAAUGGAGCCAGCGACAAUGCUCACUUCAACAUCCAUGUCAUUGAACUUGUUACAGAUGAGCUGUUAUAAUGAAGGCUUUCUGGUUAAUUAAACCCUCUGAAUGAUUCUGUGUAGUGUUGAGUUCUGUGAUUCAUUACAGAGCAGUUUUCUGUCUUUCAUGGAUUAUUACUGUUUUCAGUGAAUAUGUUUGGUUGUUGACUCAGUUUGGCACCAAUCAUCCAGUGCGUCAAAAACCAGAGUUGAGGACAAAUUACCCUCAUCAUCUUUUCUGAGAACUUUAAUUCGCUUUAUUUUUCAAUUGUUGCAAAUGUCAUUGUUUCUGUUAAUGUUGUUUUUUUAAACAUCUUCCCAAAAUAAAAACAAAUAUCACUUACAA